UACAGGGGGGGCAAGCGUUGUUCGGAAUUACUGGGCGUAAAGGGUUCGUAGGUGGCCACUUAAGUCAGACGUGAAAUCCCUCAGCUUAACUGGGGAACUGCGUCCGAUACUGGUUGGGCUUGAAUCCGGGAGAGGGAUGCGGAAUUCCAGGUGGUAGCGGUGAAAUGCGUAGAUAUCAGGAGGAACACCGGUGGCGAAGGCGGGUCUCUGGGCCGUAACUGACGCUGAGGAGCGAAAGCGUGGGGAGCGAACAGG
rnacentral:rRNA from 1 species